AGCGCUCUACUGGGUCGCACCUGACCCUCAGGGACGAAAGCUAAGGUAGCGAAAGGGAUUAGAUACCCCUGUAGUCUUAGCCGUCAACGAUCGGAUACUAGGCGUGCUUUGUAUCGACCCAACCCGUGCCGAAGCUAACGCGUUAAGUAUCCCGCCUGGGGAGUACGCACGCAAGUGUGAAACUCAAAGGAAUUGACGCGGGCCCGCACAAGCGGUGGAGGAUCUGGUGUAAUUCGAUGCAACGCGAAGAACCUUACCAGGGCUUGACAUCCCGCGAAUCUUGCUGAAAGGCGAGAGUGCCUUCGGGAGCGCGGAGACAGGUGGUGCAUGACUGUCGUCAGCUCGUGUCGUGAGAUGUUGGGUUAAGUCCCGCAACGAGCGCAACCCUCGUCCUUAGUUGCCAGCAUUAAGUUGGGCACUCUAGGGAGACUCCCGGUGACAAACCGGAGGAAGGUGAGGAUGACGUCAAGUCAGCAUGCCCCUUAUGCUCUGGGCUACACACGUCAUACAAUGGUCGGGACAAAGGGGAGCAAGCUCGCGAGAGUAAGCGAAUCCCAGCAAACUCGGCCUCAGUUCAGAUUGCAGGCUGCAACUCGCCUGCAUGAAGGAGGAAUCGCUAGUAAUCGCAGGUCAGCAUACUCCGGUGAAUUCGUUCCCGGGCCUUGUACACACCGCCCGUCACGCCAUGGAAGCUGGCCAAGCCCGAAGUCGUUACCCUAACCGUUUGGAGGGGACGCCUAGGCAUGGGCUCAACCUGGGUGAAGUCUAAGCAAG
rnacentral:rRNA from 1 species